UUUCCAAAAUGGACCCUUCUAGAAGCUGUGGGGAAGCUUGUGACUAGGAGACAAUGAACCCAGAUCUGCACAAAACAGGUGCCAGGAUUACAGGCAUGCACCACUGUGCCCAGCUGCCAGAAGGAUUAUAAACCAGCAUGACCCAGGCACCUGGAGAUGCAGAAAAUCUGACCCCCCAGUCCUGUGGCCUUGAAAAAUGUGCUCAGACUCUUGAAGGUCAGCAGAUGCUGCAAAAGGCUCUCCUCUGAUAUACCCUUAUCAACCUAAGACUGGACCCACCAAAGAGAGCUGAACUGCAUCCCAUCUCCUCCCUGGAAUCUCAUUGUUUAUUGCAGAAAAGAAGACUGGGGAAUGCAACCACGCCCAGAUGGACAUUUCACAUAAGACACGGAUUGAUGCAUUGGACUUCUCCCCAAAUAGGAUGCUGUGUCAAAGCUGACCAAGUAUACAAUGCUGUCCUUGGGAGGACCCUAUAGCAUCUCAUCAUUGUAGGUAUGGCAACAUUAUCUUUCAAAGAAGAAUCUAGAAUGGCACAAGGAGAAUGGCUUAUUCUUUUUAGAGGGCAGCAAGGCCAAUCUCUGUCUCAAUUGGGUGGGCAGGCUCUUCCUUAAAUACCUACAACCUGUUCCUGAAAUAGCUGAGAGACCUUCAAGGCAGGGGCUCACUGAGAGAGGGGUGCAAGCAAUUGACCUCGUUGUUGCUGACAGUCUCCUUGGCAGAGGGGCAACACCAGGACAUGAAAGUAAGAGGAGAGAGAUUUCAUAACAGACAUGCAUCAUGGAGGAGGGGUAACCUGGCCUUGUGGAUAGACUCUGUGAGCUGGCAUGAGUUCUGGAAGGGCGGUGCUUCAGUCAACACUGGUGUCCAAUGUUCAAGGAAAUCCUAGAACAAAGGAAUCACGAGACAAGCUCUUAAGCGUUUGUUGGUACAGACUGCUGUACUGGAUGUUCAGGACUCUUUUUUUAUCCAGAAGAUAAACAAGGGAAGCAAACAGUCACGUGACAUCUGAAGUGGGCUCUCUUUCACACACAGAUUCAUAAAGGAUGCUCAACCACAACAAGCAAUUCAUUGAGUAAAAAAGGUGAAUUAGUAACUCACGGUAAAAUUACUGUUUCAGAAUUUCUUGUUUUGUCAUGUAGGCUUAAAGGGGAACAUGUUCAUCUUUACAAAAGCAUCAUAGCAAGCGCCAACAGGCCAGAGACAAAGGAUAAAUGACUAAGUUCUUUCAUAGACAGGAUGGCGAUGCAAGAGGCAAGUGUGAGAAUGUGGCUUGUCCACCUGCCAGGAGAUGAUUGCCGCUAGAGCAGGGGUUCCCAGCCUUGAUGUACAUUAGAAUCAACUGAGAAGGGAUUGUAAGUCCCCAUGUGGCAGCCCAGGCUAAUCAAAUCAGACCAUCUGGAGAUAAGGCCUGGCUUCAGUAUUUUCAGACCUCUCCAGAUGAUUCCACUGAACAUCCUAGGCAGAGAACCAAUUCCCCUUGGAGUGGAACUUUCUUCCACCACUGUAAGGUCUUCAGUCCUCUCAUUCUCAGGAGAGAGAGGCUUCUGUUGAAUCAAUUGAUGUUGAUACAGCAGAACAAUUAGCAUAGAAGAAACCUGUAAUAGGCAUAUUACAAAUGCAAACAUACCUUGGUUAAUGCAUGACAUUUUUAACUUGUCCCCAGGAUGUAUGGGUUGAGGGGAGAUCAUUCUGAGCAGGGCAGGGAACAAUGCUGUGUUGGUCUCCAGUGUCCCCAGGGCCCAGCCCAGUCUCUAGCACAGAGUACACGCUCCAUAAACAUUUGCUGAAGGAUUGGAUGACUUUUAGGGGAAAUUGCCUGUUUCCAACAUUAACCUUUUGCAGAAGAGAUGGUGAAUAGGUCAACUGAGCACCAAGAAGGUAUUUAUAAUGCUUUCCAUAAAUUGAUUGUGGGAGAUGUAAUAUAUCCAACUACAACCCAUCCUCAUGGAUGUGAAAAGGGG
rnacentral:lncRNA from 10 species